rnacentral:misc_RNA from 1 species
GCUGCUUCUGUAAAUGCUUAAGAAUCGGCGCAAGCAGCUUCAGAGCAUGUGUUUUGAAUGUAAUGCUUUGGGCAAUCAAUUUAAGGGUAUCAUAUGACUUCUGCUUCCUAGUCUCUUUCAUCUUUGAAGCAAUCUUCUCAACCUCUUUCUCCUCUGAAACAUCACUAAGUAUAUCAUUUACUGCAAUGGAGAGAAGAUCCUCUAAACAAUAAUCCAACUUCCCACUACUGGGAUUUAGAAGAAACUUUGAUAGUAGAAAAUUGAGAGUGAAUCCUAAAACAUGCAAUUCAAAUCCUCUCUUCAGAGUGCCUCUCAAGACUUUGACAACAAAUUGCAAGUACUCCAGCCCUAGUUCUUUUAAACAAGCAGCCAAAGCAGCUCUGGCUUCAUCACGAACACUUUCCAAACGAUUCUUAAGGAAAUUCGCGAUG